rnacentral:rRNA from 1 species
AGUGAACGCUGGCGGUAGGCCUAACACAUGCAAGUCGAACGGCAGCACAGUAGGAGCUUGCUCUUACGGGUGGCGAGUGGCGGACGGGUGAGGAAUACAUCGGAAUCUACUUUUUCGUGGGGGAUAACGUAGGGAAACUUACGCUAAUACCUCAUACGACCUACGGGUGAAAGCAGGGGAUCUUCGGACCUUGCGCGAUUGAAUGAGCCGAUGUCGGAUUAGCUAGUUGGCGGGGUAAAGGCCCACCAAGGCGACGAUCCGUAGCUGGUCUGAGAGGAUGAUCAGCCACACUGGAACUGAGACACGGUCCAGACUCCUACGGGAGGCAGCAGUGGGGAAUAUUGGACAAUGCGCGCAAGCCUGAUCCAGCCAUACCGCGUGGGUGAAGAAGGCCUUCGGGUUGUAAAGCCCUUUUGUUGGGAAAGAAAAGCAGCAGGUUAAUACCCCGCUGUUCUGACGGUACCCAAAGAAUAAGCACCGGCUAACUUCGUG